UACUACACUAUACUGGGGCACUGUGGUGGACAUUUAAGAGGUUACUCUGGUUGAAACGUAUCUGUGAUUGUAAAUGUAUAUGUCAGCAUUUUACUGCCAUUAAAAUUCGCAAUACAACAAUUUUAAGCGCGCACUUUUAUGUGUGACGUCAACUCUGACACCACGGAAAGUGGAACGAGCUGGUACGCUGCAGGCCAUGAAAAGAAAGACGUCCAGUAACAGUUUUGGCGGACUUUUUGUGCAAACGCAGGCCUGUCUACCUCACUAAAUAUGAUACCAGAAUGUGAAACAGUGCCCCCUGCUGUCAGGGGUGAAUAUCUCACUAAGAAUCAUGGCAGUUUCUCCCCACUGACCCACAGAGCUGUCCAUAUAAAGUGCUUCUCACCAUCUGCAGUAUGAGUUGUGUAAUCGACCAGAGGACCUUCAUAGUGACCAUCUACAUGCAUCCAGUCAUGUUGAUCUGAGACUCCACGAGCGACAUUCAUCCAUGUACACUGCCCUGAUUCAAAGUCACAGGAUCCAGUGGGAGAGCAAGCCCCAGACUUAACUGAGAUAUCAUCCAACAAAACAAAUGACUCAAGCCUGGGACUGAGCUCGGCUUUGAAUGCCACCUAUAUGUGUGAAGCAAAAAUAUGUUAAUAAAUGAAAACAUGCUUAGUUCUUCCCUCACAUUGACUUCAUUUGGGCAGAUCGCCCUUAUUAAUGGGCCCAAGUGUAUUUGCUGUCACAUGGAUUAACUAGUGAGUAAUCAGUGCUUCUGCGUCCUCUCUCUUUCCUGAAGUCGGUGUGAGCGUGCCUCCUCUACUGUUGGGUUUGAUGUACAAGCGCAUUAUAUCUUUUCUAAUCAGUUUUUUUUGCAUGGCAUCCCCUCUCUGUAUAAAUAUGAAUUAGGUGUGUGUGCGUGGCAUGACCUCUCUAUUUCUCGAUUUCUGAACUUAAGCUGAGUUGUCGCCUCUUUGCAUGAUCUAUGAUAAAACUAUUGCUUGCAUUUAAAAUGAAAGACAUAAGUGCAGGGGGGUUGUUGUUUUGGUUGUCACACGUAGUAGACCAUUUUUUUGUUGGUGGGUAAUGACUGCCUUUUUUCACCGGCUACCAUUGACCUACAAAGACAAAAUACAACAGCUGCUUGGCUGUCUGAGAAGGACAACUGGAAAGGUUUCUUGAUUAAAAUGUAAUUUAUGUGGCAUGAAUCUUUUUGUCUGAUGUACUGUAUCCGGCGAGUUUCCUUUCAGUCUAUGAGACCGCAGUUGUACAGUAGUUUUUAGUAAAAUGUGUAUUGUGGUUACUGUAUCAUAAACUUGCACAAUUGAGAACAUAAAAAAGCAGAACUUUG